ACCUGAUUAGUUUAAAUAAAAUAUUGGUUUGUGGUGUCAAAGAUGUAAAAUAUACUUCAGGUU
rnacentral:tRNA from 1 species